GAGGCUAUUUCAGGAAAAGAAAUGAACAUUCACUAAGCCAUGAAGAUUUAGAACAGCAUGGUAUAUUCAGGGGCCUGGAAGUAGAACUGGGGGCGGGGGGUCAGGUAAGCACCAGGAGUAGUGAUAGGCGGGACUAGAGAGGUCAGUGGCAGUGGGGAGAUUCAAUGCUAGCUUGAGGAGCCUCAGUUGGGCAUCCAGUUAGGUCCCUCUCUUCUUUCCUGUGGAUUCGGAAAGCUUCAGUUCAGAAAGCUAGUCAAGAGGGGCAUCCUCUGAUUUGUUCUCAGAGCUUCAUAGACACUCACCACUAAGUUCUGAGUCUUCAUGUGCACCGCCACCCCCCCACACACACACACCCGUAUGUGGGUAGCCUGUGUAUUCAGAAUGACUCUGUGAGAGCGAUCCUGAGGGGAAAAUAGGACGGAAACUCGGAUUUGAUCUUCACUCACCCCAGAGCCUCAGCUGCGCUCAGAAAAUGAGGGAAUGAGAAGAAAGUGGAAUUGGACAGAAAGCCUUGCUAAUUCUAGUUUUUAAAGUUCUUCUGUUAACAGAGUUAAAAUCUAAAUCUCUGUAGCUUCUACCCACCGGGUUGUGAUUCUUAUAGUGGAGACAAAAAAAAACCAAAC
rnacentral:lncRNA from 10 species